UUAUAUUUUUAAUUAAUUUUUAAAUUUAAAAUAAUAUAUAAAUUUUUAUUUAAAUAUAUAUUAAAUUAAUAAUAUAUUUUAUUAAUAAUUAAAUUUAUUUAAUAUAAAAGAAAUUUUUAUUUUGUAAAAUUUUUAAUUUUAAAUGAAAAAAGUGCCAGCAAUAGCGGUUAAACUUUUUAUAAAAAAUUAAUUUUAUUAAUAUUAAUUAAUUAUAAAAAUAAUAUUAAUUACAUAUAAAAUUUAAUUAUUUGGUUAAAUAUAUUAUUAAAUAUUUAAAUAAAAUAUAUAAUUAAUAUAAAAUUUGAUAAUGAAUAAUUAAAAAAUUUUUUAAAUAAACUAGGAUUAGAUACCCUAUUAUUAAAAUAUUAAAAAUAAAAAUAUUAAUAUAGUAAAUUUAAAUAAUUAAAUAAAUAAAUUUGACGGUAUUUUAAUUUAUUUAGGGGAACUUAUUAUUUAAUUUGAUAAUACACGAUAAGAAAUACUUAUAAUAUUAUAUUUAUGUAUAUUCGUUUUAAAAUAAUUUUUAAAAAAUAAUUUUUUUAAUAUUUAAUUAAAAUAUUAAUUCAGAUAAAUAUAUAAUUAGUUUAUAAGAAUAUAAAUGAGUUACAAUAAAAUUUAAAAUUUAUAAUAUUAAUAUUUUAAUAAUAUUUUUUAAUUAGAAUUUAAUUGUAAAAUUAAUAAAUUAAUUAAUUUGAUUUAUAAUAUUAAAAUAUGUACAAAUUGCCCGUCAAUUUAAUUAAAUAUUAUUUAAUAAUUAUAAAAAUUAAUUAUUAAAAAUUAAAUUAAAUAAGUCGUAACAAAGUAAGAAUACUGGAAAGUGUUCUUAGAAUUAAAAAAUUUAAUAUAAAAUUUA
rnacentral:rRNA from 1 species